UGCCAUUUUGAGGGACAGACAUUUUCUUUGUGGGAUUUGUAGUUAUUGAAGUACAGACAAUGCUCUGUAACCUACGGGAGCCUGUGUAGCUCAGAACUACAGACGAAUAAUUGGCUGAUUAGCCGGUGGGUCUACCCCCAGACAGGAAAAAGCCUUAUAAAUACCCUGCUCUUCGCUCAUUCAGUCUUUCACUACCAAAGACACGGCUUGGCAUCUUGAAAUCUGCCGGAGAGAGUUAUGGCUGUCGUUAUAAAACUAAAAGUUAUCUUUGGCAGCCGCACAACAAAUACAAUGCAUCCGUCAUAAAAUGACUAUAUACUUUUGGGGUUCUGAUGGCACCACCAGACUAACUGGCUGAUCUGUUCUGGUCUACAAAGGCGGCUGUAGGAAGUCCAUGAUAUCAGGCAGCCAUCACGUCGUCAGGUGAGUCUCAUUAACCGAUGUUAAUCAAUCUGUUUCCUGACAACACCUGGUCAGGUUGAGCAGCAGAGCCAGUGAUGACACAACUCAAAUAACUUUUCUGACACCUCGUAUGAGAGCUGGUAACAGCCUCUGAUUCUAACUCUACUCUGAGGUUCUGCUGCUAACUAUAUAUAGGUGUUACUGUAGUAGUCUGUCACUACAGACCCUGGUUUGAUUCUAGGCUUUUAUCACAACCGGAGUCCCAUAGGGCUGUGCACAAUUGGGCUGUUGAGGUUAGGGUUUGAUGGGGUUAGGCAGUCAAUGAAAAAUGUUCUUAACUGACUUCCCUAGUUAAAUAAAUGUGACUGUUGCAGUGACUGAGGUCUCCUGAUGUAUAUUUUUUAUCCUUCAUCCCACCAGGAGUCGGGUGACAGUACUGCAGUCUGGUGUCAGUCUGACCAUGUGACCUGCAGUGAACGGCCCUCCACCCUGUCACUCAGGCUCUCAAAGCUGCAUUCUGGUUGGUCAAUCUGAGACCAUGUGAUGUGCAGUGAUCCACCAUCCCUCUGUCCUCUGGUAAACAACCCUUCGUACUACUCAGACACCACUUUGUCUUCUAGUGGUUGGUGUAUAGUAGCAGCAGAGCCAGUGAUGACACAACUCAAAUAACUUUUCUGACACCUCGUAUGAGAGCUGGUAACAGCCUCUGAUUCUAACUCCACUCUGAGGUUCUGCUACUAACUAUAUAUAGGUGUUACUGUAGUAGUCUGUCAAACUGUAGC
rnacentral:lncRNA from 1 species